CAGUAGCCGCGGUAAUACGGAGGGAGCUAGCGUUGUCCGGAAUUACUGGGCGUAAAGCGCAUGUAGGCGGUUAUUCAAGUCAGAGGUGAAAGCCCGGGGCUCAACCCCGGAAUAGCCUUUGAAACUAGAUAACUUGAAUCCAGGAGAGGUGAGUGGAAUUCCGAGUGUAGAGGUGAAAUUCGUAGAUAUUCGGAAGAACACCAGUGGGGAAGGCGGCUCACUGGACUGGUAUUGACGCUGAGGUGCGAAAGCGUGGGGAGCAAACAGGAUUAGAUACCCCCGUAGUCCCUGUCUCUUAUAA
rnacentral:rRNA from 1 species